rnacentral:rRNA from 1 species
GGAUCAUUACUGAGUGAGGGCCUUCGGGCUCGACCUCCAACCCUUUGUGAACACAACUUGUUGCUUCGGGGGCGACCCUGCCGUUUCGACGGCGAGCGCCCCCGGAGGCCUUCAAACACUGCAUCUUUGCGUCGGAGUUUAAGUAAAUUAAACAAAACUUUCAACAACGGAUCUCUUGGUUCUGGCAUCGAUGAAGAACGCAGCGAAAUGCGAUAAGUAAUGUGAAUUGCAGAAUUCAGUGAAUCAUCGAAUCUUUGAACGCACAUUGCGCCCCUUGGUAUUCCGAGGGGCAUGCCUGUUCGAGCGUCAUUUCACCACUCAAGCCUCGCUUGGUAUUGGGCGCCGCGGUGUUCCGCGCGCCUCAAAGUCUCCGGCUGAGCUGUCCGUCUCUAAGCGUUGUGAUUUCAUUAAUCGCUUCGGAGCGCGGGCGGUCGCGGCCGUUAAAUCUUUCACAAGGUUGACCUCGGAUCAGGUAGGGAUACCCGCUGAACUUAAGCAUA